rnacentral:rRNA from 1 species
AGUCUGGUGCCAGCAGCCGCGGUAAUUCCAGCUCCAAUAGCGUAUAUUAAAGUUGUUGCGGUUAAAAAGCUCGUAGUUGGAUCUCGGUUUCACUCAGGUGGUACACCUUGCGGUGUUCACUAUCUGGGUGGACGUUUCUGUUGGUUCGCUCUUGGUGCUCUUCAUCGGGUGCCAUUUGGUGGCCAGCACGUUUACUUUGAAAAAAUUGGAGUGCUCAAAGCAGGCGUUACAGCCUGAACAUUAGUGCAUGGAAUAAUGGAAUAGGAUCUCGAUUCUAUUUCGUUGGCUUUCGGAGUCGAGGUAAUGAUUAAUAGGGACAGACGGGGGCAUUCGUACUGCGACGUUAGAGGUGAAAUUCUUGGAUCGUCGCAAGACGAACUACUGCGAAAGCAUUUGCCAAGAAUGUUUUCAUUAAUCAAGAACGAAAGUUAGAGGUUCGAAGGCGAUCAGAUACCGCCCUAGUUCUAACCAUAAACGAUGCCAACCGGCGAUCCGUCGUCGUUAAUUGAAUGACUCGACGGGCAGCCUCCGGGAAACCAGAGUGUUUGGGUUCCGGGGGAAGUAUGGUUGCAAAGCUGAAACUUAAAGGAAUUGACGGAAGGGCACCACCAGGAGUGGAGCCUGCGGCUUAAUUUGACCCAACACGGGAAAUCUCACCAGGCCCGGACACCGGAAGGAUUGACAGAUUGAGAGCUCUUUCUUGAUUCGGUGGGUGGUGGUGCAUGGCCGUUCUUAGUUGGUGGAGCGAUUUGUCUGGUUAAUUCCGAUAACGAACGAGACUCUGGCCUACUAACUAGAAGGUCUAUCCUUUAUGGGUAGGCCUCUGCUUCUUAGAGGGACGGGCGGCGUUUAGCCGCACGAGAAUGAGCAAUAACAGGUCUGUGAUGCCCUUAGAUGUUCUGGGCUGCACGCGCGCUACACUGAAGGAAUCAGCAUGUUCUCCCCUCCCUGAAAUGGGCGGGUAACCCGUUGAAACUCCUUCGUGAUGGGGAUUGGAGAUUGUAAUUAUUCUCCAUGAACGAGGAAUUCCCAGUAGGCGCGAGUCAUCAGCUUGCGUCGAUUACGUCCCUGCCCUUUGUACACACCGCCCGUCGCUACUACCGAUCGAGUGAUUUAGUGAGGACUUCGGACUGGUCUUCAAGUUGGCUUCGGUCGGCUCGAAGUUCCGGAAAGAUGCCCAAACUUGAUCACUUAGA